GACGAACGCUGGCGGCGUGCUUAACACAUGCAAGUCGAACGGUAAGGCCUUCGGGUACACGAGUGGCGAACGGGUGAGUAACACGUGAGUAACCUGCCCUUGACUCUGGGAUAACUGCUAGAAAUGGUAGCUAAUACCGGAUACGACCCUCGGUGGCAUCACCAGGGGGUGGAAAGAAUUUCGGUCAAGGAUGGACUCGCGGCCUAUCAGCUAGUUGGUGGGGUAAUGGCCUACCAAGGCGACGACGGGUAGCCGGCCUGAGAGGGUGACCGGCCACACUGGGACUGAGAUACGGCCCAGACUCCUACGGGAGGCAGCAGUGGGGAAUAUUGCACAAUGGGCGCAAGCCUGAUGCAGCGACGCCGCGUGAGGGAUGACGGCCUUCGGGUUGUAAACCUCUUUCAGUAGGGACGAAGCGCAAGUGACGGUACCUACAGAAGAAGGACCGGCCAACUACGUGCCAGCCGCCGCGGUAA
rnacentral:rRNA from 1 species